AUGCCAUUCUACCUGUGCUGCAUUGUGUGGCUGACCACUCCUAGGAUCUCAGCAGAAUCAUUACACAGUUUCAGAAGCCACAAUUGCCUGGCAUGCUGUCUGGUCAUGAUGCGUGGCUACAAUGAAGUCCUGCUGACCCCAAGCAUGGUGUGAAAUGAAGAAAUGGCACUCCACAUCCAUAGAGCUUGAUUUCCCCUGUUUCAUGCUUACUUGU
rnacentral:lncRNA from 1 species